CCACUCUCAGGGUCAGGCCUGGAGAGUUACCAGUACUCUACCAGUCUCAACUGCAAGAGGGAGAGUCACACAGAGGUAUACCCAUUCCAUUUCUAGCUUGGCCAGUGGCUAGUGAGUGGAAGGCAAUCUGCUACAAGU